rnacentral:tRNA from 1 species
GAAAUAAAUUGAUUUUAAUCAAGCUGCUAACUUGAAUUAAUAGCGGUUCGAUUCCGUUAGUAUUUCU